GUACUCUCAAGCUUUGCUUGGUGUUGGGUGUUUGUCCUUUCCUUUGCGUUUGGACUCGCCUUAAAUUCAUUGGCAGCCUAUAUAUUGGUUUGAAGCGCAGCACAUUUUGCGGUUCUGUCGAAUACUAUUAGCGUCCAUAAAGCACAAUUAACAC
rnacentral:misc_RNA from 1 species